GCUGAUAAGUGCCCAAACGAGCUCCUCGCUGAUACGGACACAAAGAUACUUGAAGCUGCCAGUCAUCUCCACUCCAAGCUCCUGGAUAAACAGUGGCAGAUGUCAGCUAUCCUCUCCUCGGUCUUGUUUGUGCAGAGGUAGAAAGAAAAAAAACAGUGAAGGACACCAGCAGACAUCAAUCAAGAGGAGUAGGAAUAUAAACAUUCCAGUGCCUGGUUUUGACCUCUUCACCUCCAAAAUCCAGCAGACCGGCCUGGGAGACCACACACACACACACACACACGCACACACACACACACGCACACACAAAUGGACGGCGGGGGAAGGGAGUGAAAGCCCGCCAGAUGCCUAUUUAAAAAUGAACUCCCUGGCAGCUCAGAACCAGGUCCUCAUGAUGACGUCCUGACUCAUGGAUGACUGCAGACAGACAAGUAAAGUACGACAGCUGCAGUAACCUCCGUCAUAUGGACCCUCGGGCAGGAAGAUCCGAAGUAUGACUCAUGCCGGCUCACCCUUCAGGUGAUGCUACAGAACCAGAUCCAGAUUGGCUGGAAUGAAGCAGAGGCAUCAAAUUACACUUUGUGGGGUUUUUAUCAGUGCCAUGGCCCUCGUACCACAGUUUGGUGCCAGAAGUGUUGAGUCAGUGCGGAAUGACGAGUGUUACAUCUUAUUGUUUCCCCGCCUCUAACUGUGCCAGGACACGGCGCAACCAUCGUUCCCACCCAUCGCCCCACCACAGCAAAAUCCGGGCAGCUCUUCAGGUUCCUCGCCUGUUUACAAACACACACAGUCCGCAGGAAUCCACCUGAUGAUCCUCCACUGGAGCAGCUCCAAAAAAACCACCACUCUCCGCUAACCCUCGUCAUGUUUUCAGCGCCUUUCACGCAGGAAUGCGGCGAAGAGGGAAAGGCGCCGACGUCACUCGCCCUCACGAGCCGCUCCAUCAGUGUAGCGUGACCGAAAACGUUGCACCAUGUUAAAACUCCCUCUUGGCGGAGUCUCGGCCUCCUCUCGGGGAGUGAGCACAAGGCAUUCUGGGCAUUCCACGGGGCCUCCACAGGGCGGGGCGGCCUGCUUGCUGGACAUGUGCGUUUGAUAAAGGCCAAAAGGCUCCUCACAGCCUGACUAAAUUAGUGAAAGAAGCCUGGGGAUUUAGUUCACUGUUAAGGCUGCAAAGUUGUUAUUGUAAAACCUUUCAUCAGUCAAAUAAUUCAUUUUACACAGGAUUCUUUUUCAAAGUUUUUUAGAUCGUAAUGUCUUAUCACUCAAAUGAGCUAAAACGGCAAAGCUACACAUACACUAUAUUGCCGAAAGUAUUUGGCCACCCAUCCAAAUGAUGAGAAUCAGGUGUCCUAAUCACUUGGCCUGGCCACAGGUGUAUAAAAUCAAGAACUUAGGCAUGGAGACUGUUUCUACAAACAUUUGUUAAAGAAUGGUGAUUUCCAGAGUGGAACUGUCAUAGGAUGCCACCUGUGCAACAAAUCCAGGCGUGAAAUUUCCUCGCUCCUAAAUAUUCCAAAGUCAACUUUAUUAUUAGAAAAUGGGAGAGUUUGCUGGAGGAGGAAUUAUGACGUUCAGUGAAAACAACUUUGAACGAUCCAGGAUACCAAAACAUUUUGGACAAUUCCAUGCUCCCAACCUUGUGGGAACAGUUUGGAGCGGGGGCCCCUUUCUCUUCCAACAUGACUGUGCACAAAGCAAAGUCCAUAAAGACAUGGAUCAAUCAAUCAUCAAUCAAUGUUUAUUUAUAUAGCCCUAAAUCACAAAUGUCUCUAAGGACUGUACAAACCAUUACGACUACGACAUCCUCGGAAGAACCCACGUAAGGGCAAGGAAAACUCACACCCAGUGGGCAGGGAGAAUUCACAUCCAGUGGGACGCCAGUGACAAAGCUGACUAUGAGAAACC